ACGAACCUACUGUGUUCGAGCAUUGAGUUUAUGUUGACCCAACACUUUUUUUUAGGGAGCUUAACUCUUUCUGUAGAAUGAAGCUUAUUUUUUUAAGUACAAGAAGCAGAAAGGCAGCACCCACCUGCACUUAGCGGGUUAUCGUUUAAACUCAAGAGACGGCACGGCGGGCUCUUU
rnacentral:other from 1 species